rnacentral:rRNA from 1 species
AUUGAACGCUGGCGGCAGGCCUAACACAUGCAAGUCGAGCGGAUGAAGGGAGCUUGCUCCUGGAUUCAGCGGCGGAUGGGUGAGUAAUGCCUAGGAAUCUGCCUGGUAGUGGGGGAUAACGUCCGGAAACGGGCGCUAAUACCGCAUACGUCCUGAGGGAGAAAGUGGGGGAUCUUCGGACCUCACGCUAUCAGAUGAGCCUAGGUGGGAUUAGCUAGUUGGUGGGGUAAAGGCCUACCAAGGCGACGAUCCGUAACUGGUCUCAGAGGAUGAUCAGUCACACUGGAGCUCAGACACGCUCCCCAGUCCUCCGCGAGGGACCAGAGUGGAAUAUUGGGCACUAGGCGAGAACCUGUGACAGCGCCGUGCCGCGUGUGAAGAAGGUCUUCGGAUUGUAAAGCACUUUAAGUUGGGAGGAAGGGCAGUAAGUUAAUACCUUGCUGUUUUGACGUUACCAACAGAAUAAGCACCGGCUAACUUCGUG